GGGCCCGCACAAGCGGUGGAGCAUGUGGUUCAAUUCGACGCAACGCGAAGAACCUUACCCAGGCUUGAACAGCGAGUGACCAUCGACGAAAGUUGACUUCCGCAAGGACACUCGUAGAGGUGCUGCAUGGCUGUCGUCAGCUCGUGUCGUGAGAUGUUGGGUUAAGUCCCGCAACGAGCGCAACCCUUGUCUGCUGUUGCCAUCACGUUAUGGUGGGCACUCUGCAGAGACUGCCGGUGAUAAACCGGAGGAAGGUGGGGAUGACGUCAAGUCAGCAUGGCCUUUAUGUCUGGGGCUACACACGUGCUACAAUGGCCGAUACAAACCGUCGCGAUACCGCAAGGUGGAGCUAAUCGGAGAAAGUCGGUCUCAGUUCGGAUUGUAGGCUGCAACUCGCCUGCAUGAAGUUGGAAUCGCUAGUAAUCGCGGAUCAGCACGCCGCGGUGAAUACGUUCCCGGGCCUU
rnacentral:rRNA from 1 species